rnacentral:rRNA from 1 species
GACGAACGCUGGCGGCGUGCCUAAUACAUGCAAGUCGAGCGGACGAAUCGAAAGCUUGCUUUUGAUUCGUUAGCGGCGGACGGGUGAGUAACACGUGGGCAACCUGCCCUGUAGACGGGGAUAACACCGAGAAAUCGGUGCUAAUACCGGAUAACACGAAAUGUCGCAUGACGUUUCGUUGAAAGACGGCGCAAGCUGUCGCUACAGGAUGGGCCCGCGGCGCAUUAGCUAGUUGGUGAGGUAACGGCUCACCAAGGCGACGAUGCGUAGCCGACCUGAGAGGGUGAUCGGCCACACUGGGACUGAGACACGGCCCAGACUCCUACGGGGGGCAGCAGUAAGGAAUCUUCCGCAAUGGACGAAGGUCUGACGGAGCAACGCCGCGUGAGCGAAGAAGGCCUUCGGGUCGUAAAGCUCUGUUGUUAGGGAAGAACAAGUAACGCAGUAACUGGCGUUACCGUGACGGUACCUAACGAGAAAGCCACGGCUAACUACGUG